rnacentral:lncRNA from 1 species
ACUGCCCCGGUGCUUCCCCGUAGAUAGCACCGCUGUUGUUUCAGGAACACAGUCAUCCCUCAGAAAUGGAUUGGGUGACAAGUGGUCUGCAUGCUGCACACGGGCACUGGGCGCAGAUCAGCGGACAGGCGCGUAACAGGAGGUGCUAAGUGCGCAGGUGGGGUCACGUGCCGCGUCACAGCAGUGCUGGAGGAGAGUCCUGACUCAUGGCCUGGGAUGCUGGGGUUCCUCCCCAGAGAAGCUCUUUUGGACCUGGGAGAAGGAGUAGGACUUUGAUACACCAUGGAGGUCUCUGAAUGUAACCAAAUUGUUCUCCUCUUAUCAUUCCCAUUCACUGGUGUACUUGUUUGUGGAGCCUGCAGAACUGCCUUUUUCAAGAAUGGCAGCUUGGCCUCUAAAUCUGCUUCCCACUGAUGGGAAGAGCUGACAGAAGCUUUAGAGAGGCACAGGGUGAGUUCCUAAAACCAGAGUCAACACACACUCUUCAUCUGUUUUGUGCUUCACUCCCUGCUCAUCUUCCUAAAACACUGAGUUUGGUCAUAUCAUGUCCUACAAGUUGUCAAUGAUUUCCCAUGAUCUUGUCUUCAGGAUAAAGUUCCUUAGUCAAAAGCAAUGAAGACCUGACCUAAUCUGUAAGGCAAAAUCAACACUUUUUAGCCUGGCCUUCCAUGCCCUUCCAUGCCCUUCGAGCCCCCAGAGCACCCAUGGCAGUCCAUCUCUCUCUACUUGUCCAGAGGGACACUCUCUUAGAGCCAGUGGCUCCUACUCACGGUUCCCCGAACACGUCGUGGGAAUGUUUGCCUUCAUACCUUCCCAGAUCAUUUUCCUGAUCUCAGACACCCUCCGUCCUCAUUCAUUCACUCUUCAAUUGUCCAACAAAUAUUUGUUGCUCAUGCAACCUGGAUCACCCACAUAGUUUCAAGACUGCAUCUUCUAAACUAUUUAAAUCCUAUCCAUUCUUCAAGAAAUGUUUCAUGACGCUUCCUUAACUGCUAAGGACCCGCAGAUUCUCUUCCUCUUGGGACUCACACACUGACUCAUCUCCCGAUCUUUUGGUGCUCAGCAAAGUGGAGGCUUCUGUUUUGGACUUAGAGUCAAGACCAUUAAAUAAGACUAUGCUCUAAAAAGUACACCUCCGUGGCCCGGAACGAGUGAAUUAACAUCUAUGAGUUUCCAUUUCCUUGUCUAUAAAAUUGUGAAAUUGCAACUUAAGAUUAGUUCUGAAGAUUAAAUGAGGUAACAUAGGUGAAAAUGCUACAUUUAUGUAAGAAAUUACUCUUUCAUAAGGAUGUCAAUGUUUAAAUACGCAUUUUCUCAAUUUUGUUAAUGAAAUACUUUGAAAUUCUUUUUUCUAAUGAAACCUGCUGAAUGUAAAAGAGACCCGUACUAAAGAAAGAUACCACAUGAAGCACCAAGGGUCUCUUUCUGGAUCUAUCAUGACUCUUGUGACUGUUUCAGCAGCACAGAAAUUAAAGGCGAUUGUUAUUCUGGAGGAAGACAAUGAGUCUCAUCUAUAUCUUGUUUGGGUUGAUUUUGUAAACAGAACAUUCCAAAGAUCAUUCUUGCCUUUUGUUUCCACUGAGAACUAGAAUAAAGUAAAACAAACUAUCAAUUUAAGGAAAGCCUCGAAAUUGUUAGCAAUUUCUUCAGUAACUUUCAUCCAUCAACUGAUUUUAUGAACACAAAUUUGCAGAAAUGGGCAAGAAAAACUACUUAACUCAUUGGUGGGAAGCAGUGGGCUCUCUAAGGAGGGAGAGAUAGCAGUGAUUUCACCACCGGACCGUGGAACACAAAGAGCCUGGAAGAGUCUAUCACUUUCAACUGAAACCGCAAGAAGAACUAAGUAGGUUAAGCCCUAAGAAUGUUCCUAGGUAACCUACUUGAGUUGAAAUUUGACUAAGAAUCCUUACACCCUACCUAAGAGAGGUAACGCUAUUAGGAUCGGAAGUGAUUGGAAGCUUUGUUUCAGAUCUCGUCCAAAAGGGAGAACGGUCAAUGACAAAGCUGCUGUGAAUAGUAUUCUGGGGGCGUGGUGGAACCCCGAUUCACUGCUAUCUCCCGAAUCAGCAACUUGACAGAGCGCGCCUCCCGGGCCUUGGAAGCCUUCCAUUCCGAGCUGGCUGGGUGGGACUCAGGUUUUACGGUAUGCUGGACUUUUUCCCCGUGAGUUAAAACACAUUUAUAGUAACUAAGUGGUUAAUGAUGAGAAAAAACCCCAAACUACUGUACUAAUAAUCAACCUCUGCUAUUUGGUUUGUAAAAAACAAAAAUACAUCU